CCUACGGGAGGCAGCAGUAGGGAAUCUUUCACAAUGGGCGAAAGCCUGAUGGAGCAACGCCGCGUGCAGGAUGAAGGCCUUCGGGUUGUAAACUGCUUUUAUAAGCGAGAAAUAUGAUGGUAACUUAUGAAUAAGGAUCGGCUAACUACGUGCCAGCAGCCGCGGUCAUACGUAGGAUCCGAGCAUUAUCCGGAGUGACUGGGUGUAAAGAGUUGCGUAGGUGGCAUAAUAAGUAGCUAGUGAAAUCUGGUGGCUCAACCAUUCAGACUAUUAGCUAAACUGUUAAGCUCGAGACCGUUAGGGGUAAGUGGAAUUUGUAGUGUAGGAGUGAAAUCCGUAGAUAUUAGAAGGAACACCAAUAGCGUAGGCAGGUUGCUGGGACGGUUCUGACACUAAGGCACGAAAGCGUAGGGAGCAAACGGGAUUAGAUACCCCGGUAGUC
rnacentral:rRNA from 1 species